UCACUGCUCUACUUUCUGUCGGUGUGGAACCGUUCAUCCAGGACUCAGACACUCACUCCUGCCCAUGAAUCAGCCACAUCCCGACCUGCCUGUCCCGAGAACAGUGACCAUCACCACACCUCCUGGCUACCUUCAUGCUUCAGCAACGGAGCCGAACAGUUGCAACAGAGACCAUCUGCACCACAGAGCCUACAGGCCUUUCACGGCAGUGCCUGUUCCUCGUUCCAGUCCAUGGCGGUUCCAGUGUGAGUCAAGAGUUGUGACAUGUGCAUUCAAAGAGCCACCUUAACACCAGCACACAUGGGGCCGAUCCUUUGUGAAUGAACCAGUGCAUGCAUGGAGAACCGGGAAAAGGAAAGGAUGCCUCACCUCGGCCUCCCUGGACCAGCUCCCACCAGAGUCUGCUGAGGACUGAAUUGAGAGGGCCUGGGCUCUGCCCUUCACCCGGAUCCCCAGACAUCUUGUUUACAUGUUGGAGUGCUGAAGAUCCCAGGCAGAGCCUCACACGUGGUAGGCAGGCUAGACCAACUGAGCUACAUUCCCAGGCCCGCCAACCAUUUCUGCAUAUGAAUUUCUCCGGAAGAUAAGGUAGUACUUGACAACAGUAAGGACUUCAGCCAGCGUGCA